UCGGUCUCUAUCUGGUGUGGGCGCAUGAUAAUUGAAGGGGAGCUCUUCUUAGUACGAGAGGACCGGAAGAGACGAACCUCUAGUGUUCCAGUUAUCCUGCCAAGGGUAAUGGCUGGGUAGCUACGUUCGGAAGGGAUAAGCGCUGAAAGCAUCUAAGUGCGAAGCCCCCCUCAAGAUUAGUUAUCGAUCCCCUUCGGGGGUGAAGGCACCUUGUAGACUACGAGGUUGAUAGGCUGCGUGUGUAAGGGUUGUAAAGCCUUUAGCUAAGCAGUACUAAUCUGCCAAAUAUUUAAUCAC
rnacentral:rRNA from 1 species